GCAGUGUUUAGGGGGCCACAACAUAAAUAUUGCUGUAUAAGUUCAAAGAACUAGUAUAAUUAAAGUAGAAAAUUUGGUGUUAAGUUGUGUCUUAUGAAUUAAGAUAUGAAUAUGUAAUGUUAAUAAAAUGUACCGUGGUGUUUCUUUGUGGGAAAGAUAUUAUAUUUAAAAAUAGGUUUAAGCCCUGUACUUUUUGUAUCAUGGUCUAUAGAGAAAAGUAAGUGAUCUUUUUUCCUGAAAGCUCUCGAUCUACUUAAGCUAUAUAUAUUAUAUAUAAUCGUUGUAGCGCUUAAAGGUAAGGUUUAAGUAGUAGUGAAAUUCUUUUCGUAAGGGCUGGUAGCUGGUUAAAAGUGAAAUGUGUAAAUGCACAGCAUCAUGGUUGGAUUGCGGAAGAGUUUUCGUAAUUUUUCAUGUUAGUAAUAUUUUUGGGGGUUAGCUCAAAAAUAGGUUGUUAUUAAAAAAGUAUAAGUGGGAUUAAAUAUGUCUAGCUUUUAUAACAUAUAAAUUAUACUCUUUAAAAAUUUAUUUUAAGUAAUUUUUUAAAUUUAAUAAUUUUUUAGUUAAUGAUUAGUAUAGAAUUAGUAUAUAAAUUUUAUUUUUAUUAUUUAAGUAGGUAUAACCCGCCCAUAAGUGUUAAGGGCGUGUUAUAGAAACUUAGAUGAAUUAUAAUUUUGGGUAAUGAUACAGGUAAGUGAUGAAAUAAAUAUUAUUAAUGAACUCGGCAAAUAUACCCUGCACCUGUUUAUUAAAAACAUGGCUUUUCGAAUUAAUAUAAAGAAAAGUCCAACCUGCCCGGUGAACAAUUUUAAACGGUUGCGGCUCGAGUCGCGUUACGGUAGCAUAAUAAGUUGUCUUUUAAUUGGGGGAUAGUAUGAAUGGUUUGAUGAUGGGGUAGCUUUAUUAAUAAUAUACAUGUGAAGUUUACUUUUAAGUGAAAAGGCUUAAGUUGUUUUGUUAGACGAUGAGACCCUAUCGAGCUUGAUAAUUCCGCCCAGUAGCUGGGGGGAGUAAGUUUAAUCGGGAUGGAUUGGAAGAGAUAAUAUGUCUUCUUAAUUAUAUGAGGAUCCAACAAGGUUGAGUAGAAGAAGAUAGCUACCGUAGGGAUAACAGCGUGAUCCCCCUUUAUAGGCCUUAUUAAAAGGGGGGUUUACGACCUCGAUGUUGAAUCAGGGUGAUCAACCAGGUGUAGCAGCUUGGUUAGUAGGACUGUUCGUCCUUUUAAGCCUUAUGUUAUUUGAGUUUAGACCGGUGUGAACUAGGUCGGUCUCUAUCUGCAUAUUUUAAGAAUUUUAGUACGAAAGGAAUUAAUUUUUUAGCCUAGGCUUAUUAUAAUUAUAAAUUAUUUUUUUUAUGCUAGCUGAUGCAUUUUCUAUAUUUGAUUAU
rnacentral:rRNA from 1 species